UUUAUGGAGAGUUUGAUCCUGGCUCAGGAUGAACGCUGGCGGCGUGCCUAAUACAUGCAAGUCGAGCGAACAGACGAGAAGCUUGCUUCUCUGAUGUUAGCGGCGGACGGGUGAGUAACACGUGGAUAACCUACCUAUAAGACUGGGAUAACUUCGGGAAACCGGAGCUAAUACCGGAUAAUAUUUUGAACCGCAUGGUUCAAAAGUGAAAGACGGUCUUGCUGUCACUUAUAGAUGGAUCCGCGCUGCAUUAGCUAGUUGGUAAGGUAACGGCUUACCAAGGCAACGAUGCAUAGCCGACCUGAGAGGGUGAUCGGCCACACUGGAACUGAGACACGGUCCAGACUCCUACGGGAGGCAGCAGUAGGGAAUCUUCCGCAAUGGGCGAAAGCCUGACGGAGCAACGCCGCGUGAGUGAUGAAGGUCUUCGGAUCGUAAAACUCUGUUAUUAGGGAAGAACAUAUGUGUAAGUAACUGUGCACAUCUUGACGGUACCUAAUCAGAAAGCCACGGCUAACUACGUGCCAGCAGCCGCGGUAAUACGUAGGUGGCAAGCGUUAUCCGGAAUUAUUGGGCGUAAAGCGCGCGUAGGCGGUUUUUUAAGUCUGAUGUGAAAGCCCACGGCUCAACCGUGGAGGGUCAUUGGAAACUGGAAAACUUGAGUGCAGAAGAGGAAAGUGGAAUUCCAUGUGUAGCGGUGAAAUGCGCAGAGAUAUGGAGGAACACCAGUGGCGAAGGCGACUUUCUGGUCUGUAACUGACGCUGAUGUGCGAAAGCGUGGGGAUCAAACAGGAUUAGAUACCCUGGUAGUCCACGCCGUAAACGAUGAGUGCUAAGUGUUAGGGGGUUUCCGCCCCUUAGUGCUGCAGCUAACGCAUUAAGCACUCCGCCUGGGGAGUACGACCGCAAGGUUGAAACUCAAAGGAAUUGACGGGGACCCGCACAAGCGGUGGAGCAUGUGGUUUAAUUCGAAGCAACGCGAAGAACCUUACCAAAUCUUGACAUCCUUUGACAACUCUAGAGAUAGAGCCUUCCCCUUCGGGGGACAAAGUGACAGGUGGUGCAUGGUUGUCGUCAGCUCGUGUCGUGAGAUGUUGGGUUAAGUCCCGCAACGAGCGCAACCCUUAAGCUUAGUUGCCAUCAUUAAGUUGGGCACUCUAAGUUGACUGCCGGUGACAAACCGGAGGAAGGUGGGGAUGACGUCAAAUCAUCAUGCCCCUUAUGAUUUGGGCUACACACGUGCUACAAUGGACAAUACAAAGGGCAGCGAAACCGCGAGGUCAAGCAAAUCCCAUAAAGUUGUUCUCAGUUCGGAUUGUAGUCUGCAACUCGACUACAUGAAGCUGGAAUCGCUAGUAAUCGUAGAUCAGCAUGCUACGGUGAAUACGUUCCCGGGUCUUGUACACACCGCCCGUCACACCACGAGAGUUUGUAACACCCGAAGCCGGUGGAGUAACCUUUUAGGAGCUAGCCGUCGAAGGUGGGACAAAUGAUUGGGGUGAAGUCGUAACAAGGUAGCCGUAUCGGAAGGUGCGGCUGGAUCACCUCCUUU
rnacentral:rRNA from 2 species